AUGCCGCCUUAUAAAAUGGUAACAGCCGCCUCAAUAUUUGUGUAUAUUUGAACACAUAUAUGUGUGUAUGUUGUUUUUGUGCAUACAAUGUUUUUGAUGACAUUCAUCGGUUUGAAGAUAAUGGGACUUUUUUCAGCUCUUUGAAAAUAAACAAAGUUCGAAUAUGAUGCGUAUCAAUUUGCAACGCCAGUCGAAAUUCAUACAGAACAUUUAACAAAAGUAGUGCCUUAGAAAAUUGGAUUUAUUUUUACCCACCCAUUUUUGAGCGAAAAAGAAUUAGAUCAGUCGGUAAAAGAACAUAUGAUUUUCAAAGUAGUUUUAAUGCAUACACAACAAUGAGACCAGCAGUUAAUUCGGUCAUCAACUCAGCCGUACGACAGCCAAUCAACGUCUCAAUACAAAAUGAAUCGGCGCCGAUGACGGAAAAAAUAACAAAUUUUGAUAUACAUCGAGCCAAUUUCAUUUGGCCAGAAGAUCCAGAAGAAGAACUGCCAGUCAAUUUUCCUAGAUUCAAUCAACGUUUCCAACAUCGUCGCUUACAUAUGAGUGCCAUGGUGCCAUUUGGAGUAAUGUUAGUACUGUCUACAAUUAUUUUCAUCAUGAUCAUUUUUCGUCGUUGGCCCGGCGUUGUGUCUGGCAUAGUAGCUGGCUGCUUGACAUUUAUUUCCAUUUAUUUGCUACUGCUUACCCUUAAAGAAGAAGUGCUAGUUUACGAAUGAAUACAAACAAAUUUACUGAUGAAUAGGCAUUUGAAAAAAGUUCGUUAAUUCAAUAUCAAGUAUCAAAUUGAAAUAAUCG